rnacentral:lncRNA from 1 species
CUUUUAGGCAUCGGUUUCCAGAUCACAGGGAGUCACAGAGGACCUGGAGGAGAGAAUCCUGUGUGUGCUGGAGAUCCCGAACUGUGGCGGAGGCCCCAGGAGGCAGUGAUGGUGUGGACUCAGCUGCCUCUCCGGGAAGCAGCUGCUGACUGGAUACAGAUGUCCAAGGCCAAUGAGGAAGCCAUGUGUCAAAGAUGGCAGGGGGCAGGGCAUGGUGGCUUACACCAGUAAUCCCAGCACUGUGGAAGGCUGAAGCAGCUGGAUCACUUGAACCCAGGAGUUUGAGACCAGCCUGGGCAACAUAGUGAGACACCAUCUCUACAAAGAAUUUAAAAACUGGGCCAGUCGUGAUGGCUCACGCCUGUAAUCCCAGCACUUUGGGAGGCUGAGGCAGGCAGAUCACAAGGUCAGGAGUUCGAGACCAGCCUGGCCAACACAGUGAAACCCUGUCUCCACUAAAAAAUACAAAAAAUUAGCUGGGCGUGGUGGCAGGCGCCCAUAAUCCCAGCUACU